GAUAUUCUGGCAAGACGUAGGUUUGAGUAUCAGUCCUGAACUUGAUAUCGGACAAAUUGAAGGAGCCUUUGUCAUGGGUCUUGGGUACUGGACUUCCGAGAAUCUAGCCUACGACGAGGAAACUGGAGCAAUAAUUACUGACAGAAUCUGGCAAUACUUCCUACCUGAAGCAUGUGACACACCCCAAGA